CAUGCCGUAAACGGUGGGCGCUAGGUGUGGGGAUUUUUCACGAUUUCCGUGCCGUAGCUAACGCAUUAAGCGCCCCGCCUGGGGAGUACGGCCGCAAGGCUAAAACUCAAAGGAAUUGACGGGGGCCCGCACAAGCGGCGGAGCAUGUGGAUUAAUUCGAUGCAACGCGAAGAACCUUACCUGGGCUUGACAUACACCGGAUCGCUGCAGAGAUGUAGUUUCCCUUCGGGGCUGGUGUACAGGUGG
rnacentral:rRNA from 1 species